ACGAAAAUGCAGAAGAUCUGCUCUUGCCCGCGUGUCCUCCCGUGGGCGGACCGUCCUUCCCGCGGGGGGAGCAGGUUAUUGAUCAGCACAGGGGAGGUAUCCGCCAGCCCCCGCCUGCCUUUCCGGGGUGAAAGGGCAGGGUGAUGCAGGAGGAGACAAGCUCGUUACUGAGUCUCUCAAAGGCCACAAGGGCAAGGCUGGGCUAAUAAAUUCUUUUUUUUAAGUAAGUAAAUGCUUGUGCUGCCUCAAGCCCUCCCCAUAUAGCCUGGCUUUAUGUUCUCUGAGUGCUAUACAACUGUUUGAGUUUUCUUCCUCAUCACAGAGGUUUUUCCUACUGGGCCAAGCUGCACAAAGCUUUUAGUUUGCUUUCUUUGGUUUGUUCGUUUUGGGUUUUGUUUUUUUUCGUUUGUUUGCUUUGUUUUUAUUAUUGUGCCAUCCUCGGCAUCCAUACAGUUGGAAGGAAAUGGAGGACUGGAAAAUAUAAACUUUCUCGGCUUGUCAGAGUAUGAUGUGAUACGCGCAAACAGUCCCUGGAGGACCACGUGCUUAUGGCACGUGGGAGAAGGGAAAUCUCUGGGCCUGGAAGGUGCCUGGUGGUGGCCUGGGCAGGGGAUGCCAAUGGAUGCCACAGGAGAAUCUCCCUGGGCUGACGGAGGCUCUGACGCCAGACUUAAAUGCUUGAUCUAUAGCACAUCCAUGCAGCAUUUGAUUAAACCGGGCCUGAACUGCCAUUUGAAUUAAUCCCAUUACCAGCUUGUCUGUCCAGAUCAGUUAUUUCAGUCCCAAUAUCCAUUACGGUCCUCUGGAAACCGAGGAGCAUCAGUCACCUGUCAUGCAUUUGGGGCUGGCGUCGUAGAUCAGAUGUAAGAGGCACACAGAGAAUCUCCCGGACAGCAUAAGCAGAUCUCCUUUGAUGUUUUUCUGGAGGAACUUGAGCUUCAUUGGCCUAAUAUUCUCAGAUUUCUUCUUCUGCAAUAUUUUUGAUACAAGCUUCUUCAUCAGAGAGACCUUCAAAGCCUCAUGUUUGUACCCUGCUUCCCUGACCGUGUGAGGUGUCCAGGCCUGCUGGAAAGAAAGUUGUUUAAAGCCUUCUUGUGGACUGAGGAAAUUCAUGAGGAACUCAUCCUGUUGACCUCUUGAGACAUCAUCUCAACAGCUUUGGAAGGACAAGUAGGUGUGGGAGGUCGUAACAGAGAGGUUUCUGUAAUGCCCAACCUGAA